ensembl:lncRNA
CAUGCUGACUGUUCUGUACCAUUUUUUCCUGAGAUACAGUAUAUCCAUUUAGCUGCAUAUUUAGGCCUUUCUCAGCCUUCAUGUGUCUUGCUUCAUUCUUCAGGAACACAAGUUCUGUGUGAGUUGGAAAUCUUUUGUCUGGUUUUCAGUCGCAUGUCUCCUCUAAGCUACUAGCAUUCAAGUGAUUGGUCCCUUAUGGCAAAUCCCUUAAGCCGUGGGCUCUGUGUGCUGUAGAGAUUGCUGUUUCCCUUCUACCAUUUAUUCCAUUUCACCUCUGGCAGUCCCAACUGGAUAUAAGGGCCUUGUUUGGUUGAAGGAAAUUAAUUAGAUGUUCCAUAAUCCCUUGCUGCUCCUGUGAUCCUUGGACCAGCAGCAUUGACUUCACUGGGCAGAGCAUAAAAAUUUACCAAUUUUCUUGGUGUGAACACUCCCACCAUGGCUGAUUUCAAGCUAACAACAUGAUGUCGCUGAACGUAGAAUUGGGAAGAGAUGUGAACAAUCUGUUCCUGUAUGCCUGUGCAAGCUACUCCAGCACACCACUGGUAAGAAUCUAUUUAUUGCUGUUGCUAUUGUAUAAACACAAGCUCUCUUCCCAAGUUCUGUGAUAUUUGGGGUUUUUUUGGUAUGUGCUUCUUUUGCUAAUGAGUACCUUGGAAAAAUGAAGUAUUAAGAUAAAAUUGAAAUUAAAAACUCAUCUCUUCUUAUACUUUUAACAUAUACUAGUUAUAAUAAGUUAAUAUUUUGUUUAUGAACCAAAGUCUUCAUAUGUCUAGAUUUUUGUAUUAGUACAUAAUAAUAAUAUUUUGGUCUUCAAAAUAAACAAUGUUUUUCCUUUUUAUCCAAUGCACUUUAACCUUUUAUUACUUCAUAUAGCCAAUUGAAUACUCUUGUGGGACAGUGUGGGCAUUUUACAAAGAAAAUGGCUGACAUGGACAAGGUCACAAAACAAAUACAGAGACAAAACAAAUGAGAAAACAUAACUCUGGUUUUUCUGCAUCCCAGUCAUGAUAGUAGUUUGUGUCAAAGACAUUGAUGCAGAGAACGAUAGAAGGAGUUUCUCAGAAACUGUAGUUGACCCUCAUAUGGCUCUAAAAUUCCCGGGCAUUUUGAAAGAGAUCAAAUGGCAAGUAAUGUUAUGUAUUAUUGGACCUCCCUGAGAGAGAUUUAGAUGAUCAAACUUUUCACUGACUUCUCUGCCUUCCCUAUUAGACUAAUGUGAUCCAUGAAGAUAAGGUUGCUCUUUUUCCCUUUUACAGUCAUCAGCAAUUUCAUCUAUUAUGCAUACAAUAAAAGAGACAUUCAGAGAGGUUAAAUAAUUUGAUCAAGCAUAUACAGAUAUUUUGUAAAUUGCAGAGCCAGGUUAAAGUCUAAUGCCAUCUGAAUCCCAAACCCCUGUUUGUCUUUAUUGCAUUACGGUUUAUGUGGUCAUUAUCCUUUGUUCUUGUACUAUAUUGAGUGUGGAUUUUUUACUCUAAGAAUUUUAUAGUAUAACUAUCCAUACUCAGUCUUGGGGAAGUUGGUCAAAAAGUGUGUGCAAUUAGUGUUCAGAGAUGUAGCAAUAAAAUUGUUUCAGUCUUUUUAUUUGUAAAAAAGGUCUCAGCUUCCUACAAUUGCAAAAAGAUUUUACAUCGAGGAUAGACAAAUUCGUAGAAACAGAAAGUAGAUUAGAGGUUACCAGGUGCUGGGUGGAGGGAGAAAUGGGUAAUUAUUGCUUAAUAAUUAUAAAAUUUCUGUUUGGGGUGAUGAAAAGUUUUGAAAACAAAUAGUAGUGAGGGUUGUAUAACAUUGUGAAUGUAAUUAACGCUACUGAAUUCUACCCUUAAGAUUGUUAAAAUGGCAAAUAUAAUGUUAUAUAUAUUUACCACAGUUUUUUUUAAGACUACUAAAAGCAGACCCAAGGCCUCAAAAAAACCCCCCCCCCAAAAUUCACAUGGUCAUCAUGGCACUGCAUUUUUAGAGAAUAAUCUCUGGAAAUUCUCCAAAUUAUUUUUUCAAGGCCUAGAGAUCGUAAGGAAACGUUUUUCGCAAACACUGCUAAUCCUGAUAAGAAUUUCUAUAUUUGAAUGGACUUUUUAUAAUUAAAGAGCAAUUAUAUUAAUUUACAAUGAGAAUGCUAACCAUAUAGGGAGGCUUUUGAGUAAUAUCAAUCAAUGUGUUUGUUUUCCACCAAAGCCAAAUUACCGGAAUUUGGGGGUUGGUAAGAUGAUCCUAAUGAGAAGGGUACUAAUUAUUAGGCAUGGCCUUCAACUCGCAGUUCCUUGUAGUUCUUCCCUGAGACCUUAUACUAGACUUACAUAGACAUUUUUACAAUCCUCCAUAGAUGGGCCAUAUUUUCUAUUAUGUAUAGAAUUUAUUAGUUGGAUUCCUAAAUUUCAAAUUUAAACAGUAUUGUCUCAAAGAAGAGUUUCAUGAUUCCCACAAUCCAGGUUUGGCACUCUCCAUUCUUUUAUGCCCCCAAAGUUCCCUAUAGCUCUUCAUUACAGUACCUGGCUGAUUAUGCAUUAUUAUUGGUAAUUAUCUGUUUAAUAUGUGUAUUCCCUGAAGGACUAUGUGUUCCGUAAGGAUAAGGAUGGAACUUUGUUCACUGUUGUAUUUCUUUAGUUUUCCUUUUUACUGAUCAUUAUUUUCUUCAUCCAGAGAGACAUCUUGUUUUUUUUCUCUCAGGACUGCUUCAUACCUAACCUUCUGCUUUGACCUUCUCAUUCAUGUUUCAGCUCAACAUGACCCACAGAAACUUCUUUCCUGACCAUUCCCAUUAGAUCCUCAUCCAGUUCACUACUACUGUGCCCUCUAUUACCUUCACUUAACUUAUUGUGACUUAUAUUUCUAUAUUAAUCUAUUCGUGUACUUUUAUUGUCUCUCUUGCUCUCAUGUCAUUGUAAGCUCGAUGACAGGAGAAACCAUAUAUGUUUUAUUAGCAUUUAUAACACCUGGCCUGGGACUAAGCACACAGUCGCCACUCAAUAAACAUGUAUUGUCUGCCUAACUGACUAUCUACUUAGAAUUCUUUUUAGAAAAACAUGUGGACAUAAAUAUGAAUAAAAGUGAAUAACAUCAUAUAGAAAAUCUUCAUGGAUAAUGCUUGUAUAUAUAUUUUUCUUUUUCUGACAUGGCUGAAUGACGUUCUGUAGACGUAGGCUAAUAAUAGUUCAUAUUUCAGUUUAAAGUGAACUACAGUACAUGGUCUAAAUAAACGUUCUUUAAUGAGAUAAUUUACUAUGUACAUCUUCUUAACAUGAUACUUUAAAGGGUUGAAAUAUAGAUCUCAACAUCCUUCUGCAUUCUCUAAAGGCUGAGAACUCCCUGAAGUUAUUGGAGCAAUAAAUGGAUACUCCUCUACUAGUCAAUGAAUAUUCUGGAGAGAUGCCCAGACAUUAAUUAAUAUUUUUGAUUCUUAUUACUUUGCAUCUUCAAAGUCAAUAUGUAUUACUUGAAAUAUUGAUUUUUUAUUAUGUAUCUCUUGCAAAAAGUUUAAUUCUGACCUUGAGAUUUUCUUGCUUAAAGGAGUCAUCCAAAGUUCUGAGACUAAAGCAUAUUUUACUUAGGGUUUUUACUGUAAAUGGCAAUACAGUACACCAACUAAAUGGAAUCUUCUGUCUCCGUGGAGUAGAAAUUAGGUUUCAGGAAGCCGUGACACCGCAGUAGUGGACCGAGCUCAGAGCUUGUUUUUCUAAGUCUUUGUCUUAUGAAUUUGGUCAGAUAAAAUGUUUGGUCUGAGUAUAUUGAAAAUAAAAAGUAGAUAAAUGCUUUUAGAGAUUACUUUCUCUUUAUCAAUUCCCUGGACUCUCUAAGAAAGAUAUACUAUCUUGGAGUCCUUAAAAGUUUAAAAUAAUGUGAAUGGGAUCAGAGCAGUUCUCUCUCAGGUGCUUGCUGACAAUGGAAGAGGAUAGGAUGCAUUAAGAUUUUAAAAUAUACCUAGCAUAGUGUUUAGACCUUAAAGAGCUCACAGAGCUCAGCCUGUCAAACUGAUCAACAUCUAUAUAGAGACAGGCACUUGCCUAAAGUCACCCAGUGAGUGAACAGCAGAGCCAGGCCUUGAACUCAGUACCUGGUCCCUACUAUAGGUUCUCCCCACUACGUACUCACAUAUAGAGAAAGUGAUAACUACAGCCGUUCCAUUUAGAAACGGUAAUAAGGAAUCUAGGUCUGGGUAAAGCAUUUAAGAUUAAAUAUGAUGCUUUUAGCAGACAGAAUCAAUAGGUCAAGUCCAAAGGUCAUUUUAAUCUUGAAUAUUUUCCUUUUCGUAUCUAUUAUUUGAUGAUAAAAAUGACCAAAAAUUUUGAUGAGAAAAAAUGCACACUUUAUCAUAUAUUGAAUGAAAAUCAUUAUGAGUUUCAAAAGCUUUUUAAAAAAAUUUCCACAUGAUAGAUAAUAGAUUACUCGUGUUUCUACAGUCUUUUAGGUAUACAAAUUGUUUUCAUGUUCAUUAUCUCUAUGAAUUCUCUUAAAAGACCUGCCUGCAAUGUGGAUAAUGCUUAUUUCCUUUUCGAGAUGAUGAACUUGAAAUUCCAUAAAUUGGGGAUUUGUAAAAGCUACAUAGCUAGGUCAUAAGAGAGGCAGGAUUCAAACCUUUUUCUUCAAACUUUAGUGUGCAUCAGAAUCCCCUGCAGGUCUUGUUAAAGCGGUCUGCUGGGUCAGAGUUUCUGAUUCAGUAGAUCUACAUGGAGGCCUAAUUGUAGUUCUAACAAGUUCUCAGGUGAUACUGAUAUAGCUAGUCCAAAGACCCAGCAACUGGUGUAGUUAGUCCUAGACCCACUCUGUCUGUGUUCUCAUGUGCUCUAAUAGAAUGGGGAUGUUUCAAAAGUAAGUUGUUUGCCUAAUCCCUAUUCUGGGAUUUAUUAGUAAGUCCUUUUUAUAUUUAGCAAGUCGUUAAAGUAGUAUCUUGUAUGUUUAAUUUGCCAAUAUCAAUGUUUUUAAAUAGAAAAAAGAAAUCAACAUACAUGUAUCAGGUCCGUUGAAAGAGGUGUAUAUCAUUUUGUUAUGUUAAAGUAAGCCUCAUCAAUGAUUUUUAAAUACAUUUUGUUUUAUGGUUAGUUCUAUCUUGUCUGCUAAUAUUCCACUUAUAAUUCUGUUGAUAAUUAAGUAAGAUUGAUACUAUUAUUUCCUGAAUUUGCUCCCAAAUAUGCUGGACAUUAAAUAGGAUGAAAAUCUAAAGUAAAUUGCCCCUAAAAACUACAGUGGUUCAGUGGGUGAUUAAUUACCACCUGGAAACUUUAAACUUUGUCCUAAAUUAGAAGCCUUGUGCUUGAUAGGUUUAUAAAAUCAUUAGGCAUUGGCUUUGAAAAGAAGUUGAUAAGUAAAAGUCUUAUGUUUAUUAGGGACUGCCAGGUAAAUUGGUACAUAUGUAUGCUGACCGAUAGAAACUAGAUUUUUGGUGAUGAACACAAUGUAGACUAUACAGAACCUGAAAUGUAAUGAUGUACCCCUGAAAUUUACAUAUUGUUAUAAACCAGUGUGACUUCAAUAAAAUUUUAAAAAAUGAAUUUUAAAAGAUAACAUCUAAGCAGUUUUGUAACUAUCAGAUAUGUGGGGUUUUUUUUAAAGAUUGGCACCUGAACUAACAUCUGUUGCCAAUGUUCUUUUUUUGUUUCUUCUUCCCUCCAAAGCCUCCCAGUACAUAGUUGUAUAUUCUAGUUGUAGUUGAUUCUGGCUCUGCUAUGUGGGAUGCCGCCUCAGCAUGGCUUGAGGAGCAGUGCUAGGCCUGCACCCAGGAUCCAAACCAGUGAAACCUUGGGCUGCCAAAGCAGAGCGCAUGAAAUUAACCACUGGGCCACAGGACUGGCCCCUCAGAUAUGGGUUUUUGUUUUUUGUUUUUUUGAUGAGGAAGAUUGGCCCUGAGCUAACGUCUGUUGCCAAUCUUCCUCAUUUUGCCUGAGGAAGAUGAGCCCUGAGCUAACAUCUGUGUCAAUCUUCCUCUAUUUUGUAUGUUGGUUGCUGCCACAGCAUGACUGCUGACGAGUGGUGUAGGCCUACACCUGGGAACUGAACCCAGGCUGCCAAAGUGGAGCAUACCAAACUUAACCACUAGGCCACAGGGCCGGCCCCUAGAUAUGUUUUAUUAGAUCUUUACUUUUCUUACUUUUUAGUUGAAAGAGGUGUUCAUACUUAACAGUCUGGACUGGUCUCAGGUUGCCAGAUAAACUAUAGGACAUGCAGUUAAAUUCGAAUUUCAGAGAAAGAAAGGAUAGGUUUUUUUUUUCAUGUAAGUAUGUCCCAAAUAUUGUAUGGAACAUACUUAUGCUAAAAACAGUUACUUGUUGUUCAUUUGAAAUUCAAAUUUAAUUGGGAAUUCUUUUCUUGUUCCUGCUAAAUCUGACAACCCUAGACUGAUCACGAAGGUAGAGAGCCACUUACAUGUAGUUUUGUUUUGACUACUGCAUGAAACUAUAGGGAGCAUGUACAAACACUCUCACUUCAUCUCAGCAGUUAAUAAGGAGUAAAAUUCAGAAAUUCUGAAUAGGGGCCAGCCCCAUGGCCGAGUGGUUAAGUUUGUGCAUUCUGCUGUGGCGGCCCAGGGUUUCGUUGGUUCGGAUCCUGGGUGUGGACAUGGCACCACUCAUCAGGCCACGCUGAGGCAGCAUCCCACAUGCCACAACUAGAAGUACCCACAGAUAAAAUAUACAACUAUGUACUGGGGGGAUCUGGCGAGACAAAGAAGAAAGAAAAAAAAAGAUUGGCCAUGGUUGUUAGCUCAGGUGCCAUUCUUCAAAAAAAAAAAAAAAGAAGAAAGUAAUUCUGAGUAGUGCAUUGUGUUAACAUCACACACACACCAAAUUGUAUUGGUAUCCACUAUAUAUGUAUCAUAUAUAUGAUACAUAUUAUAUAUACUUUUUCUCAGUGAUGUCAGGAUAGUAUAUUUAACUAUGUAUUGAACUCACUGUGUCUUCAAUGUGUUAAGAUCUUCAAAUAUAGUUAUGCAUUAAAUAAACACUUUCCAAGCACUCAGGAAGAGUCAGAAUUCAUUGUGUUCAGCCAAAUGUAAGUUUAAAUAGAUUAACAAAUAAUUGCCCUCUAUCCUCUUCCAGUGAAUUAAAUGCCAGUAAAAGGGCAUGAAAAGGCAUUAAAGCUAAAAAGAUGAUUCUCAUCCUUGGUUUCAAAUUGGAAUCGCCUGGAGAGCUUUAAAUUACAUGCCUGGGCCCCACCCUCAGAUAUUCUUAUUAUUUGGUCUGAGGUCUAUCCUGGGCAUUGAGGAUUUUAAAAAGCACCUUCAAAUGCUUCUAAUUUGUAAGCCAAGCUUUCCUAAAUUAGUGGUUCUCAAGCUUUUUUGCAUAUUUAAUAACUUAGGGGAGCUUUAAGUAAUCACCUGGAUACCAGACCACCCUCCAGAGCAAUUAAAUAAAAAAAAGGAAGGGAGGUUAAGACUCAGACUUUAGUGUUUUUAAUGCUUCCCAAAUUUCUUCCAAUAUGCAGCCAAGUUGGAGAACCACUACACUAAACAGGAUUUGUAUGCACUUUACACAUCUCUCCACUCAGGUGUGAACUAGACUUUGGGUUAAGACAGAAUUAUAGAAGGUAAUAGGCAUAUGUGUUCUUUCAGGGAGGGAAGAGCUACCUGCUAUGUGAUCACCAUAUUUAAAAAAAAGAUAAUAUGAAAGCCACUGACAAAACGUCAAGCAUGAACUUGAGACCUGCCUAUGGAACACUCUGCCAUAGCUUGAAAUCCAUAUGGCUUAUGAGUUCCAGGUUGGUAUAUAUAUUUUUCCAUACCAGGAUAACGAAAAAUUCCAAACUGAACAAACAACAACAAAAAGUUUCAGAAGCACAAAUGUAAAAACCUGCCGCAAUGCUGAGGACUGAAAACUCUGAUAGUAGUUGUUUUGUCUUCUGCAUGUGUGGCUGAUCUUGCCAUAUGAGCAAAUCAGGGUGCUGAAUGAGCCAUGAAAACUUGUGGAAGCCCUCAAGUGGGUCUUCUGAAUCUUUGAGAUGCAUCAGUUGAAAUGGAUGGAUUUGUUUUACCUUUAGCCAUUAUGUCAAGUACCAUCAGUUCCUUGAUUCAAUUAGUUCUCAUUUAUAUAUAUUGAUGCUCAUUGAUUUCUUAAUUCAGUUCUACCUAUAUGAUCAGAUAAUACCUUCCUUUUUUCUCUUCCUUUUGGUGGUGGCAGUGGCUGGGGUGUCAGGGGUAGGGAUGGGAAUGUGAGUGGAAUGGAAAGAAGCCUAGAUAAAGAUUUAAGAAAAGGCAUUUAGUUCUUGCUCUGCCCAAUAUUGCAUAUUUCACUUAAUUUUCAGAGCCUUUUGUUUAUUGUUCCAAUUAGUAUAGUGUAGCAUCUGGUUUAAGACCUCACAGAGUUGCUAUGAAUAUCAAGUUAGUUUAGUAUGUCAUCUUCUGUGAGGUAGCUGGCAAUGAAAGACUAAUGGCCACAGUGGGAGCAAAUGGAGAAUUCCUGAAAUUAGACAUGCCCAUUGAGGUGGCGUAAGUGCUGUAGGACUUGACCUCGAAUAAGUUAUAUUUUUUCAAUGAAGUAAAAUAAGUCAUUCACUUGCAGGAGUUAGAGGCCAGGGGUCGCAGAAGGGACUGGAGGUUUGAAGAGAAUGGAAACAUUGGAUCAUCUUCCCUGAUCUCUAGGAAUGUAAUUUUUGGGAGUAAGGUUACCAAAGAAAAUACAGGAUACUGUUGGUUCACAACCUUGAGAGUUCCCCAGGUAAAAUUUGAAACUGGACCCAGGACACAGAGGACAAAGAGAGACCAAAGAGGCAGGCCACUCCAGAUUAGUAGGUGGCAGUUGUAAUAAACAAGGAACCUCCCAUAUGAGGAUUGUCUUGGGUGGCUGCAAGAUGAAUAGAUCUCCACACCUGCCCGCCAGAAUCUUAAGAGUUUAUAUAGAGGCCUUAGUGGGGUUCAGUCACAUAUACAGUCCAGAUGGUCUCACCAACGCAUUACUCUUUCAAGGCUGUGUCCUUGAAGUAGCUCCUAGUGUGGGAACAGUGGGCAGAACAUAGAUUCCAAGGACAGGGGAGGGAGUGAGGAGCCUGUGGAUUGCCUGAGUCCAGCUUUCAGGUCAACGGGCAGUCACGUCCUGUCAAUGACUUCCUCUAACAGAUACACAGUUAAUUUGAAUUUGAUAUAAACAAAAUAAAAGUUUUGCAUAUGUAAGUCCCAAAUAUUGUAUGGGAAAUACUUAUAAUAAAAAUCUCUUGUUUAUCUGAAAUUCAAAGUUCACUGUGCAUCGCGUAUUUUUAUUUGCUAAAUCUAGCAGCCCUAACCUUGGGGGUCUGGGGUUAGCAGCUCUGCGUCCUCUCUCAGUUAUUAUUGUGGAUGAGAAUGGUUAAGGUAUCAGUUCCUUGCUACCUGCCUCAAGAUAUUGUUGAUUGACAGGUGAUACUUUAAUAUGGAUAACACUUUAUAGGUUAGAAAGUGGAUUUAUAUGUCUUGCAUGCUCUUUACAAGGAACAUAGAAGUUAGGCAUUUUCAACCCCAAUUUACAGGUUAGAAAACUGGAUAUCAGAACGAUUAGGAUACUUGUCCAAGUUUAUAUGGCUAGUUAGUGGAAUAUUAGGUAAUUAGACACAGUCUUCGAUUCCAUGUGUAACGUUAUUUUAACUCUGCCCAAGCUGUCUUUUGGACUGAUUAGAUCUCAGUAUUUUAUAUUUUUCCAGAAGGAGAUUUUCUUUUGCUUUUCAUUAUGUAAAACUAGUCCCAGCAGGCAUCUCUUGCAAUCCAGUCGUUUGGCUUGUAUGAUUCCAUUGGAGAUGUAACAUUAAUAAGAUCGCUAUGAGUAAAACAUAUAGCACAUUCAACGUGUCAUUGUGGUUUCUUUGACCAAAUGAAUUGAGCAAAUGUAGUGUUACAAGAAUUUACAUUUCUAACCAGUUGGAAACUCAACAAGUUAUUUACUUCACAGUUUUAAGUAGUUACUUUCUACAAACAGUGUCACAAAUUGACUUGAAAUAACAUAAUUAUCAUACAAUAUGUUUUUCUAAAAUCUUCUCUAGAUUGAUAUGAAUGGUCAUUGCUUGGCAAAUUGUAACUAAAUUUCUCCAGUGCAACAUAUUUCAGAGAGAACAAUACCAGAAAGUGUUUAAUGGCAAUAACUCACAUAUAGCGACACUAUAAAGGAGUGGUUCUCAGAGUGUGGUCCCUGGACUAGUAGCCCUAGCAUCCCCUGGAACUUGUUAUUGAGAUGCAAAUUCCUAGAUCUCCACCGAUACCUACAGAAUCAGAAACUCUGGGGGAGUGGCCCAGCAUCUAUGUCUAACAAGCCCUUCAGGGGACUCUGAUGCAUGAUAAAGUUUGAGAACCACUGCUAGCCUAGCAUCCUGCUGUGCCUCCUGAGGGUGAAGAGUGGAUGCUUACUUUGAAAAGCUGUGUUUACACACAUUUCUCUUCCAACAAUGCUUCUGUGGACAGCAUUUGAUAAUAAGUCUACUCCUUUGUUACAGUUCCUAUAAUUCUUAACGUAUCAGAACUUGCUCAACAAGUGGGAGAGGGAACACUGCCAAAAUAAGGAAAAGAUACUCAUGAAACUGAAGUGAACAUAAUUAAUUGUUAAAUGCAACUGUAAGUGUUCAUUCUUUUUGAGUGAGUAAACUUAACAUUUACUAAUACACUAAACUCUUAUGUGCCAGAUUCUAUGCUCAGCAUUUUGCAUACGUCUCAUGAUCAUUCUGCCUUAGAAAUAUUAUUAUAACCAUUUAACAGCUGAUAAAACUGUGCUCUGAAAUAUUAAGUAUUUGCUCAAAGUUACACUGCUGGUCAGCAGCCUAUGUUUGGUUUUUCUUUAUAAUCUAAGUAUAGCUUAUCUCUUUUAUGAGCAGCCCUGGCAUUUCCUAUUGCCACCUACCCUGAAUUAGUUCUCAUCAUUCUACAAUGCAGUUUUCUAUUAACUUGACAGUUGUCUUGAAACCAGAGUGUGAAUAUCAAAAAACAAAUCCAAAGAAUUGUACUAAAGCAUUUCAGUUUCUCACUCCUGGCCCAUAGAGACAGACUUUCUAGGAAUUCCCUAUAAUAAAGCAGAUAAAAAUAUUAAUAUCGCAAUUUUCCAGUUCACAAAAGUGAAUGCACCAAUAAUGCAGAUAGGGGAAGUUGGUAUGUAUCAGAGGUGGUAUUAGAGAUUAGUAAGGAAAGGAUGGACUAUGUGACAUGUGGUGCUUGGACAAUUAGUUACCAUACAAGUGAAAAACGUAAACCCUGAAAUUAGAUCCUUACAUCACACCAGAAGUGAAAGUAAAUUCCAAAUGGACUAAAGACCUAAAUGUGAACCAAAAAAAUGUAAACAUGUUUAAAAUACAUAUAAGAAAAUAUUUUCAAGGUCUUGUGGGUAAGGAGGAUUUCUUUUAAGAGAUUUAUUUUUAAGUUUUAUUUAAAAUUAAAAUGAUGACAUCAAAAUUUAAAACAUUCAUGUGACCAAAAAAAAAAAUCAUGAAAAAGUGAAAAGGCAAAGGACAGAUUAGGAGAAAUAAGAGAAAAUAUUUCCAGUAUAUACAAUGGAACAAGGAUUAGAAUCCAAAAUAUGUGAAGACAUUCUACAAGUGAAUAAGGAAAGUAGGAACAAUCCAGGAUAAAAAUAGGCAAUAAAUGCAAAUAGGUAAUUCACAGCUGAGAAAUUGAAUGACAAAAAGUUAUACGCAAAAAGGCUAUACCUCUAUAGUAAUCAGGGGAAUAUAAAUAAAACAAGUAAAAUGCCAUUUCAUACUCUUCAGACUAGCAAAAACUAUAAAAUCUGGCAGUAACAAGUACAUACUUUUGGUGAGUGUGUAAAUUAGGCCAGUUAUUCUGUAGAGGGCCAGAAAUAGCUGGAAAAUCUGGAUAUGUGUAUAAAAAUCCCCAGCAAUUCUCCUUCUAGAUAUGGUACCUAGGGGAAUACUCCUGUUUGAGUGCAAAGAGGCAUGCAUCAUUAAGUCAAUGCAGUGCAGUUUGUGAUAAAGAUUGGAAAUAACCUAAAUGCCCAUCAAUAGAAAAAUGAGCAAAUGAAUUUUGGUAUGUGCAUGAAGUAUAUUAUGUAGCAGUUAAAAAUAAUGAACUAGAUUUCUAUGUGUCAACAUGAUAGAUUUCCAAAAUCUAAUUUGGAGGGAAAUAAAUAAUUUGUAGGAAGAUAUACAUAGUCUGAAUUCUAUGUAUGUAAUUUAAAAACAUAUAACAGUAACAUAUAAUAUAUAUGAAGAUAAAUAUAUAUUUAUAAAAUAUGGAUUGAUAGGAAAACACAAAAUUCAUGAUUUCCUCUGGGGAGGGGCUAAGUAGGAGAAUAAGAUUGAGGAGGAAAUUCUAGGGACAAAAGUUAUCAGAAAAGUUUACUUGCUUAUAUUAAAAAAUAUCACAUAAGUAUAGCAAAAUAAAAAUAUCUGUCACAUUCUAGGCAAUGGAUGAAUAGACGUUUGCUAUAAUAGUCUCCUGUACUUUCUGCAUUGUUAACCUUUUUUUCCAAAUUGAAAAGAAUAUCCAGAAGCUCAGAGGGGUAUGUGAAUUACAUAAGACAGCUAAGGUAAAGAAAUAUAGGACUGUGGAAAAAGGUAGAUUCACAUGCAAUUGAAAGGCUAAUUACAUUGACAGAAGAGGGAAGUAUUCCAAAUGGGUCCAAAGAGAUUUUCAAGUCUUUCUCUUUAUAAAACAUUAUUGAUUAAUCCUUGCAGUGUUGGGAAGGGUUUCAUUAGAGGGAAUUGUUUUCACUAAGAUUUUUUUUCCACCUCUGAAUUCCCAAAUCCACGCCAGAGCACUAUCCACUUUAUAUCUGUAGGUGGAUAGCUAUCUUAUAGCUGACACUAAGACAUGCUUUCACUGUCUUCACUGUAUUACCAGAUGACAACCCCUGCUCAAAAAGAUGUGAUGUGGUUAAUUAGUGCUUUUCCCCCUUAUUUUUAGAAUUGGUUGUUGUAACUCACUGCACCCUGGUCUUCCGGGUAUCUGGUGGUACGAGAUUCCAGAUGAUCUGGGAAUUGAGUUCUUAAGGAGGGCUUUUUCUGAAAGCCCUCUCAAGAUUUAAGUGAACUGUGUUAAACCUAAACAUAAUGCGUAAUAUUCGCUAGAGAUUUUACAGUUUUGGAAGUAUCAACUUAUUAAUAUAAUUCAAGCCUUCUCAGAAAGGAAACCUGGAUGAUAUACUACUGAGUGUUAGUGAAAGACAGCAACAACACUACAUUGGGUGUAAGGUGACUUAGUGUUAACACUGGGCCUGCCUCUAAUAGCUCUGAGACUUUGAAAGAGUUAUUUCCCCAAUUCGGGCUUCAGUUUCUCUAUCUGUAUUUUAACAGGGGUGGAUUAAUGAGAGAUCACAAGCUGGCAUACAGUGAGCAUAAUUUAGCCUGUAGGUUCAUUUUAUUUGAUGUGUAGAUAUCAGUGGCAUUUGUCACAGGCAAUCAUUUCCUCCUGAAAAUAUUUUCUUUGCUUUAACUUCUAAGGCACCACACUCUUAGUUUUUCCUUGUUAACUGGCCCCCUUCUUGGUCUCCUUCGUUUGGACUGAGUCAAAAUUAGAGCUUGGAUCUCCUAUCUAUUUACAUAGUAUAAAUUCCACUCACCCUCUUGUGAGCAUCAUCGUUUUAAAAUCAUAUAUUUAUUGACAGUGUCCAAAUAUAUAUCUUUAGCCUUGAGAGCUUCUUUGAAUCCCAGACCCAAUUGCUUACUUGAUAUUUCCCCUUUAUAUCUAAUGUAUUGCUUAAAAUUAGCAUGCCAAAUCUGAACUCUCAGUCCCCGUCCCUCUGGACUUCAGUCUGCUCUUCCAUCUGUCUCCCUCCCACCCAUGAGAGGAAACUCCAUUCUUCCACUGCUCAGGCCAAAUAACGACCUUGGAGUCAUCACCGAUCCUCUCUUUCUCUCACACCCCGCACCUGAAGAUUAGCAAAUCUUGUUGGCUCUAACUUAAAAAUACAUCCAUAAUGUAUCGAUCAGUACAAAGCCCCACACUGAAGAGCAGUCUCUGGGAGUAGAAACCCAGUUCAGAAAAAUAGGGACAUUAGGGGCAAAGGAAAGAGAUCAUUGAUAUAGCAGUUGGGAAACAGGGCCAGGAGAUUCCUGAAAAUAUAUGGUCAAUUAGUUUGAACACUAGACAAAAAUCAAAGAAAGGGAACUUCAUAGCCACGAAGGAAGAAAAUCUAUUCUAAUACCCCACACGCCUGAAAGUUAAGGAAAAUGAUUUCACCUAAAAACAAUCAGAAAAUUAUCAUGAGAGAAUACUAUACCAAUGUAUAAUUCAAAAAAUAGAAUAAGGAGCAGAUUAAUAUCACUACAGGCAAUGAAAACAUUUGUAGAAAGACACAUCCGUAAAACAAAAUGUAUUAUCUAGUAUUUCAAAACAAGUUAAAAGGAAUUAACAAAAUAAUAGAAGCUAUGAAAGAACAGUGUAAAUUUGAAUUACACAAACUCGGGGGGAUGUGAUUACGCCCAGAAAAUAAUUACAAAUAGAAGUCAUUACAGAAAUAAAGAUUAAAUUUGAAGGAUUACGAGAGCAAAUAAACAUGACAGAUGAUGCCUCUUAAAGGAAAUAAAAUGUAAAAAAGAUAAACUUAAAAAAGAAGUGAAGAAAAAGAUAAAAAGAAUUCAAGAGAAAGUUCCGCUAGUUUGUUUGGAGAAUUCACAGGACCCAGGCUGUUCUAUUCUUUUCAGACCUUGCAACAGGCUCCUAGGAUCACCCACAAAAUGGAUUGUGCAAAAAUCCCUUCCAGUUUCAGCUGCUGUUCUCAAAUAGGCCCUGCAUAUUUUCCAAGAAAGUUUAGUAUUUGCCCAUUCUUGCAUAUUCUUAGCUAUUCUUAGCAAAGGAGCCCCUCACCUCCUUGUUUCCUCUUGGCUCAAUAUGAACUUCUUGCCUCAUAUUUCUUUUUUUGAGUUUUUAAAAUUAGUUUUGCCAUUGUCUUGUGGCAUAAAACAUUGCUGUUGACAAUAUUCAUAUAAUAGGAUUCCCAAAGGAAAAAUUAAGGCACUUAAAAAGAACAAACUCCAAAAAAUAUAAUCCAAUAAAACUUUUAUGAAAUAAAAACAACUUAAUACUGUAUUAGAAAGGGUACACCACAGAUCUGGGAAAAGUGACUCAGAACAACAAACAAAAAGGUAUACCCAGUAAAACCGUUGAACUUUAAAGGGAAAAAAUAGGAAUAAUCUCUUUGGCUUCUAGGCAAAAAUAGAAAGUCCCUUAAAAGGGAAGCAAAAUCAGAUUCUCAUCAGACUUUUCAAGCCAAACUUACCUUGAAAAUUUGAGUACCAAGGAAAAUAUUGUUAAAAAUCAAGAGAAAACAAAAGACAUUAGAUCGUAAGGGCAUCCGGAAAAAAAUAUGCAGCUGCCCCUCAGAAUCAUCUGCCCUGGAAGUGACAGGGAAAAGCACUUAGACAUGGGCUCCCAUCACUCACUGUUUGAGGGGUGCCUUUGGGAUGGGGGAUAAUAAUCUGAAUUUCUGCGGUACACAUUCGUGCAUGACCAGUAGGCUCUAGCUGUCUCAACUCGGCCUCAGAGAAGGCCCAGGGCAGAAAACAAAAGAUUCAUUGUGUGUUUGAUGAGGUAUCAAGAUGAAGUGAGUAGAAGUCCUCAUGAAAUUUCCACAGCUACUGUCACUUGAAUCAAAGUUGAGACUGAAAGGACAUGAGAGGAAUCUGAGCCAGUGUAUCAAGCACCAUAUUGGUCCCUAUCAAAAGAGACCUCCUUCAUAUUGCUAGGCCCCAUCCCUAGAAAAGAUAAUAGGAACCCAGUACAGAGGUCCCCGACUUACAAUGGUUCAACUUAAACGAUUUUUCGACUUUCUGAUGGUGUGAAAGAGAUGGGCAUUCAGUAGAAACCGUACUUUGAACAUAGAAUUUUGCUCUUUUCCUGGGCCAGCAAUGUGCGAUAUGAUCCUCUCUUGAGAUACUGGGCGUGGGCAGAGAGCUGCAGCUCCCAGUCAGCCCACAAUCACCAGAUCACAGCUGAUCCACCUGUUAUCAUUCUGUUCCCUGACAACCAUUCUGUUUUUUCACUUUCAGUACAGUAUUCAAUAAAUUACACGAGAUAUUCAACACUUUAUUAUAAAAUAGGCUUAGUGUGAGAUAAUUUUGCCCUACUGUUGGUUAAUGGAAGUGUUUUGAGCACAUUUAAGAUAGUCUAAGUGUAUUAAAGGCAUUUUUGACUCACGAUAUUUUCAACUUACGAUGGGUUUUUGGGAUGUAACCCCAUUGUAAGUUGAAGAAGAUCUGCAUUGAAUUUUCCACCUUAAAGAUUCAUGUCUCAAGGAGCCAUUCUCCUCUGCAGCCUAGAUAAAACCCCUCAGCACUGAAAGGAAUCUGGAUUGUAGACUAUUAUAAAUAAAUUCCCCUUCUUCUUUCCACUCUUUCCUACUCCUGCAUCUUCUUUUUCCAAUCUUUGGUCCAUCCCUCUUUCAGCUCCCCCUGUUUACCCUUGCCCUCAUCGUGCUGUUUUCCUUCCUUGGGAAGAAGUCUUGCAGUAUCAAGUUUAAGUUUAUAAAUGCAGAAUUAAGACUUACGCGGGUUCCUCUCCUAACUUCAGCAUUUACUUAGCAGCAUGCCCUUGGCAUGUUAAUUAACCUCUCUGUGACCCAGUUAAUGUCUCUGUAAUACGGGAAUAAUAAUAGAGUUGUUGUGAGUAAUAAAUUAGAUAAGAUGAGCAAAGUCCUCAAUGUAUAUUAGCUUUUGUCAUAAGCAGAAGUAGUAGCAUUGAUUGGUAGUAGUGGCAGUAGUAUUAUGGAGGUAUUGAAAGAAAAACAUACUAUGCGUAAGUCCAAUUAAAACUUUUCAAACCUCAUCUUGAUUGACUUUUCAGUAAAAUGUGGCAAAGUUUCAUCACUGAAACUCUUGGCAUCUGGGACCCCCAUACAUGUUCCAUUUUCUUUGUGCUUUUCUGGGUACUUUUUUUCUUUUGGUUAUUCUCCUUUAUGGGAUCACCCCUCACUCUCUGAUAUUUAAAUGUUAGAGUUCCUUAGAGCUCUGUUUUAGGCUCUCUUCUCACUCCAUGCUCUUUCUAGGUUAUCUCACCUAGGAAUCUCAUUCUUGAAAAAAUACCUUCAAAUGAAUAUUUCUAGGCCAAACUUCUCUGAGUUCAAGAUCUAUAUUUAGAUACUUAUUACACCUUUUCGUUUGGAUAUCUCACAGACACCUCAACCUAAACAUGUCUAAAACUGAACCAAUCUUUCCACCAAACGUAUCGAUUUCUGCAAAUGUGACCACCAUCCAUCUAGUCACAUAAGUCAAAAAUGUAAAGGUAAUCCUUGAUCCAUACUUCUUGCCCUAUCCCCACAUGUUAUCCAUCACAAUGUCCUGUCUGUUCUACCUCCAAAAUAGCUAUAAUCUGAUCACCCUUAGAAUCUGUUUCUGCCCUGAUUCAAGCCACUAUCAUAUCUGACUUGCACGUUUUCAGUAACCUCCUAUCUGGUCUUUGCUUAUGAUAUUUAUCCUGUCUUUACAAUCUAGUCUCAGAGCGCACAUGCAAUUUAUUUCAUUGCAUUUUGUAAAAAAUCCACAAGUUUUACAUUGACCUGCAACUCUUGGUAUCACUGGGACCCUCCUUGCAUCUUCAGAUUCUUCUCUUGCUACUCUUCCCCUUUGUCUCUAGACUCCAUCACUUCAUUAAAUGCUCCAUGCUCCUUUCUGACUUCUGCACUUUCACAGAUGACUUUUGCUCUGCCUGGAAUAUUUCAUCCACCCUUAUCCUACCCAUGUUUGCUUAGCUACUCAUCCUUUAAUUCUCACUUAAAUGCCACUUUUAAAAGGAAGCCUUCUUUGACCUCUCAGACUACAUUAGUCUAUUGCACUCCCAUAAAAACUUAAAUUUCAUUUUCAAUAUUAUCUUCACAUUGAAAUAAACUAGUUGUAUAAAUAUUUGUUUAAUGAGUCUAGAGCUUGACAAGUGGUAGUUGAGAAAUCUAGUUAUUAUUGUCAUUAUUAUAUUCCAUUGUAAAUUGUUUUAGCUGAGGGUCAUAAGAAGUGAAUAGACUUGUUAGCUAUUCAUAGUUAUUUUUUUUUUUGAGGAAGAUUAGCCUUGAGCUAACUAUUGCCAAGCCUCCUCUUUUUGCUGAGGAAGCCCGGCCCUGAGCUAACAUCCGUGCCCUUCUUCCUCUACUUUAUAUGUGGGAUGCCUACUACAGUGUGGCUUGUCAAGCGGUGCCAUGUCCGCACCUGGGAUCCAAACCGGCGAACCCCGGGCCACUGAAGCGGAAUAUGCACACUUAACUGCUGCGCCACCGGGCCGGCCCCUAUUUGUUGUUCUUGAUCUUGAAGGAGAGAAGAACAUAUGGGUAAGAGGGCCCAUAGACUUGUUGAAGCAAGGAAAACUUUCUAACCACGCCUUGUUCAGAGCAUGUGGAUUGUCACUAGUUUAACUCUGUCCAUGGGUAUAUAUUAAAGCAUUUAAUAGGUAAACUAGAAGCAGUCAGCUCAAACUUUGUAAUCAUCUUCAAAGAGAAAAUGUUAGUUUUCUGCUCUGCAAAACCUUGCAGUGUGAUGGUUAAAAAGAGCAGUGAUCAAAAUAAUUAUACCAGUCCUUUGAGAAUGCUUAUGCAUGAACAUGGGCCUGUAUACAUUCCAAGAAUGAUUAUCUUCUAAUUUUGCUUUGACUUUGAUUAAACAGCUUUAAAGGCCAGUCAUAUGAAAUGGAUCUGAUUAUUUCACCGUCAUGUACAGUAAACCCAGAGUGUCUAUUCCAGCUUUGUAGAUUUGUUCCAAAGCCUAUAAAACUGUCAUGGGACUGUAGAGCCAAACCUGAUCAGACAAGUCCUGCUCAUCUCCAUGAUAGUGCAGAAAACCUCUCCAGCUGUGAACAAGGAAGUCGAGGCCAAAAGCUGCAAAUCCAAACACAGUAACACUGAGGGGCUUGACAUAACUCUAAUGAACUUCUCUUUUGUUUCAUUUUGCUGCCUUUCAUUAAGAAGUCCUAUCUGGUUCAUGAAGAAUUCCAUUUUCAAAAACAUUCAGAGAUUAAAAGAGAAUUUAAUUCUAAGUAAAUUUAAUGUAAACCAGAAAUUAUUUUCUGAAAAUCAAAUUAAAAAGAAAAACAAAAGUGCCUCUUGCAUAUUACUGAGAUCAACCACCGUUAUGGUUAAGUACACUGUAUCUUUCCCCCUUCUUUAUGGUCUAUCUGCCUCAGCAAUGCUAUAGCACUUACUGUAUCCAUGAUGUAAUGGAUCUUCAACACAAGAUAUCUUGUGAAACUUUGUAUCACUCAUGUGUAUAUAUCUGGAGCAAAAACACUCCUUCCAAUAUUCCCGACCUGUACACGCAUGAAGAACCACCCAAGUGCUUUUUUAAAAGGGAAUUUUUAAGAUAAUUCUAGAUCCGCAUGCCGUUGUAAGAAAUAAAACAGCGAGAUCCCUGUACACUUUGCUGUUUCCCCAAGUAUAACAAUUUGCAAAACUAUAGUGUAAUAAAACAACCAGGAAACUGAUACUGAUACAAUUCACAGAUCUUAUUCAGAUUUCCUGUUUUACUUGUACGUGUGUGUGUGUGUGUGUGAAAUUCUCUGCAAUUUUAUCAUUACCUGGGGAAGUUCAUGUGUCCACCACCACAAUCAAAACACUGAAUAGUUCCAACAUCACAAGGAUCCCUCUUGUUGCGCUUUUAUAACCACACCUACCACCAUCUCCAUCCCACCCCUAAACCUAAUCCCUAAUCCCACCUACUGAUCUGUCUUCUAUCAUCUGUGUGUAGCCUUUGGGAAUGGUUUUUACUCAUUCAGCAUAACUCCCCUGAACAUUCGUCCAGGUUGUUGUGUAUAUCAGUAGUUUAGUCCUUUCUGCUGCUGAGUAGUAUUCCAUGGCAUCAAGGUACCACAGUUUGUUUAACUAGUCAUCUGUUGAAGGACAUCUGGAAUGAUUCCAGUUUUUGUCUAUUACAAAUAAAGUUACUACCUGUACACGUUUUUGUGUGAACAUAUUUUCAUUUCUCUGGUAUAAAUGCCUAAGAGUGCAAUUGCUGGGUUGUAUCGUACUGCAUGUUUAGUUUUAAAAGAAACUGCCAAACUGCUUUCCAGAGUGGCUGUAUCAUUUUAUAUUCCCACAAGCACUGCGGGAGUGAUCCAGUCUUCUCCAUAUCCUUGCUAGCAUUUGGUGUUGUCACUACUAUUUUUCAAGCCAUUCUGAUAAGUGUCCUGAUAUCUCAUCGUUAUUUUAAUUUGCAAUUCCCUGAUAGCUAAUUAUGUUGAACAUCUUUUAAUGUACUUAUUUGGCAUCUAUAGAUCCUCUUUGGUAAAAUAUCUC